GGGUCUGUAGGUGGUUUGUUAAGUCAGAUGUGAAAGCCCAGGGCUCAACCUUGGAACUGCAUUUGAUACUGGCAAACUAGAGUAUGGUAGAGGAAUGGGGAAUUUCUGGUGUAGCGGUGAAAUGCGUAGAGAUCAGAAGGAACACCAAUGGCGAAGGCAACAUUCUGGACCAAUACUGACACUGAGGGACGAAAGCGUGGGGAUCAAACAGGAUUAGAUACCCUGGUAGUCCACGCUGUAAACGAUGAGUACUAGCUGUUGGAUUCGGUGUAAAGGAUCUAGUGGCGUAGCUAACGCGUUAAGUACUCCGCCUGGGGACUACGGCCGCAAGGCUAAAACUCAAAGGAAUUGACGGGGACCCGCACAAGCGGUGGAGCAUGUGGUUUAAUUCGAUGCAACGCGAAGAACCUUACCUGGUCUUGACAUCCUGCGAACUUUCUAGAGAUAGAUUGGUGCCUUCGGGAACGCAGUGACAGGUGCUGCACGGCUGUCGUCAGCUCGUGUUGUGAAAUGUUGGGUUAAGUCCCGCAACGAGCGCAACCCCUAUUGAUAGUUACCAUCAUUAAGUUGGGUACUCUAUUGAGACUGCCGCUGACAAGGCGGAGGAAGGUGGGGACGACGUCAAGUCAUCAUGGCCCUUACGACCAGGGCUACACACGUGCUACAAUGGGUAUUACAGAGGGCAGCGAAGUAGCGAUAUGGAGCGAAACUCAGAAAGGUACUCUUAGUCCGGAUUGCAGUCUGCAACUCGACUGCAUGAAGUCGGAAUCGCUAGUAAUCGUAGAUCAGAAUGCUACGGUGAAUACGUUCCCGGGCCUUGUACACACCGCCCGUCACACCAUGGGAGCGGGCUGCAAAAGAAGUGGGUAGUUAACCUUCGGGAGGACG
rnacentral:rRNA from 1 species